AAAAAGCUGCUGCUGCUGUGCAGCUGGUAGAUGUCUGCAAAAGCAAUGGAUCACCUCGAUUGCCUGGAAUUGCUCACGCUGUCACAGAGCCGUUUUGGCAUUACCUAACGGCCACCCCAUGAGAGACCAAACUUCUCUGGUGAACAGAGCUAAUACCAUGCACCUGAGACACCUAAUCCUAUUUUGACGGCUUGAUUAGUAUUGCUGCUAGCCUUCUACCUCUGUCGGUAGGUACUAACUGCCACGUCUCUUCAUGUGAAAAGCUUUACACAACAGGCAAUGCCCCGCGAAGGCAUUCCUGCCUGUCUACUUUCUGUCGUUUGGUGUGCAGGAGAUUAUUUAAUAUUAUGGUAAUUUGGACUGGAGAUUUACAGCGCGAGAACAGCCGUGAUAAAAACCGCCUUCAAAAAAAUCAAGGAAAGAUUUAUCAGGCAAACCUUUGAGAAUCAUCAUGUGGCUCAAACUGGGAACAGCUGCAUUGGCAUCGCUUGGUGAUGCCCACAAGCGGAUUUGGCCCCUGUGUGUGCCACCAGGCUGGCUAUGGCAAAAAUUAAAAUACUAAUGUGGUGCCAAAAGAUUUCAUGGCCGAACUUUAACAUCCCGAGUGAGGCAACCACCCAGAUGUGCCUGGGUAGUUGCCUCAAAACUGAUCUGGUUCCAAGAUAUGCUGUAUCCCAGAGCCUAGAUCCAGCCUUUGGUAAUAAAGCAGAGGUUAUAUUCAGUUCAAGAACAAUGAUUCUGCCUCAACAGCAAGAAUUUUUUAGGAUCUUUUCUUUAUCUCUGCAUUUCAGCACCAUCUUAAGACCGUUACGCAAAAAUAGAAACACUACUUUCCUCAUAUUUUUAUCCUCUCUACAGUAUUUUUAGAGAAAUGUAAGGCUGAGAGAACACAAAAUCAGAGAGGGAGAUUCUAUUACUAGCCUUAUUCCUCUCUGCCUUAAAUCCAGUUGGAACUAAAAAAGCUGAGGAAGGGGAAGGUAACCCCGAAAGGCAGGGGAAAUGCUGCGUGUUGCCUUAAACUAUGCUCUGGGCUGAUUAUUUUUUUUUUUUAAAUGGAAUUCUUCCUUUUUCUGUUGGAGUGGCUGCCUACCUGUGGCUUUUUACACGAUCAGCAUAAUCCUAUUUAGUCACCUUUCAGCCAGAGGAAAGUCCCGGGCACGGCGCUGCCCGCGUUGUUUCGGAGGACCUGGCCCCAGGGUGGGUGCAGCUCUGUAGCUGGUGACACAGCUGAAGGGUUCGCGGGACGGCAGAGGACAAAGCCCCCCCCUGGUUACUCUUAGAGUAAGAUAAACGGAAAGGUUGGCAAGAUCCAUCUUGCGGAGCCUUGGCUGGAAAGGAGCUACCUCUGCCCUCUUCUGAAAGGAGCAGGUACCAUUCCUGCGGUAAGGAAGAAGAGGAGCAAAAUGUUGUUGUAGAAGACCCUUUUAGGCUGUCUCUUGGACAACUCGUUUCCUCUUGGGGGAUGGGCGAAGCUUCAUUACGUUGCUAAGUAGAGUCCACUUGUCACUUGUGCUCUAGAUCCAUUUCUGGGGGGGGGGGGAGGGUGGAAAUCUGUUUAGCUUGGGUCUGCAUGUGAAACGGAGCUCCGUGUUGAUAGAAUAUGGUUUCUCAGAGCUUUCAUAUGCGCUUGAACAUUUCUGUCAGGCAUAUUUAUACCGUUUUUUUAAAAUAAAAGCAGAUUGAGGGACGGAUUUUUCCAAUUAAGAUAACCAUUUAUUGCUUGCUACCAAAUGUUUAGCCGGAGACACCCUGUUUUAGUCUCUUCUACUCUAAUUUUGCAUAUACUGGUUUUACACAUCUAUUACUCCACAUAAUAUGAUGGCGAGCCUUCUAAUUGACAUUAGUAUAAAUAAAAGCAGAACUAGAACAGCUGUUCUUUUAAAAUAGCUAGGUAUUAGUGAUGGUUAUGCUAUUAUUUAGAGGCACUGGGUGAUGGAUGUGCUUUAAAUGCCUUGGCUGAUCAAAAUGCUUCAAAUUAAAGCAAACACUGGUGACACCACGGGGAGAUGCCAAAGAACAGCCAAUUCAUCCCGAUGUACUUUUUACAGCCCCCUGAUUUUCUGUGUUUCUGAUCAGCUGAGAGUCUUUCUUUCCUCUGAAUCGAAGCAUCAGGGUUGCCUGGAUGGAUUAAGAAGAUUAAAAUGAGACAUUUACUGCACACGGGAAGCGUAAUGGUGUUAUACAUGGAAGCAUACACAUUAAAUUUCAAGUUUUAACUUUGAAGAUGGGAGACUUCUUUCCAAAGCUACAUGGGAAGUAACUGCCAGGUAACUUUAGGGUUGCUGUUAGCUUGUUGAUGGCAUUUCCACUGGGAGUCAGACCCACAGACAGUCUUUGUGGAGUUUCUUUCCCUGGCUGCUUUCACUAGUUAGCUGGUUAGCAGCGGUCACGUGCAUAUUUCCAUAGCUCUGUGCACAGAACAAUUCCCUGUUUGCCCAGAUGUGGCAAGCAAAGUCCCAGAGCAGGACAAACACCGAGAUCAAUGCUGGAGUUUGUUCCAGGUACGGAGAUAAAACAUCAAGGUUUUUAAUGCCAAGAUUCCGAAUUUCUGGAUUGUAACAUUACCUCUUGAAUUCAGAUGACUUCAUCCUCAUUCUUGUGGUUUAUGACAUCGCCAGAAGAGCCUUACUAGUUAGUUUUGUAAGGUCUAUUGCCUGAAGAGGGAAGGGGAGAUACUCUUAUUAUUUUUUUUCUUUAUUAAGACUUACAAAACGAUCUGUGACAGAGAAGGGUAUUUUAAGGGACUACUUCUGCUUGCAUUGCCUAGCUGUGAAGUAGAAUAUUGAUCUGAGGUGCAUUUUGCAUAGUGUUGUUAUCCAUCAUAAUAAAUACCUACACAGCACAGAAUAACGCUUUGGCCAGAGAGACUGUUGAAGUGCAUUCCCUCAGUGUGCCACUAAUUACGCCUAUUUUCUGGAGCCUACCAAGAAGUAAUAAGUCUACUUUGAAGUUUAUAAAUCUGGGUCUAAUGGUUCCCACAGAAAAUCCCAAGUAAUUCUUUGCAGACUGUCUCUCCAUAAUGAUGCCAGCAUAAGCGGCAUGUUGAUGAACGUAAUUUCUGUUGCUUUUCAAUGAUCAGCAAGAUACAACAUCUAUCAUUGUAGCAACGGUUAUUACUGUCCUGUUGCGUCAGGUUUGAAUCUUGGGAUUUGACCUCAGUAGCAAUUUUAGAUUGUAAACUUUUCUUCUCAAAAACUGAACACAAGGCACAACUGUCUGCUAUGUUAUUUCUUUUUUAGUUUGACAGCUGAAGGCCUCUUUUGACCCCACACGAUGCUUUAAUGUCAUAGAGAAUUUCCAGUGCAGCCGGUAAUAAUCCUUCCUCAAAUAUCAGCCAGCGAACAGUUAUGUCAGGAAAAGGGGAGUGCUGGCGAUGGGGAGGGUUAUUUUGCAAUCUUUCGGUGAUGCUGAAGCUGCACCUACCCUGUGAGAUGCCUGCAUCAUUAAAACUCCACUUCACUUGUUCUUGUAUUUGCACAGUAGAAGUAGCGGCAUUAAUUUGGUAGAUACUAAUUGCUGCUUGGUUGUAAGGCUGGGAGAAAAUUUGUUCUGGAUUUCCCGUUCACUUCAAUGCAAAGUACCUAAUUAAUUCAAUAAUUAAAACUUGUGUUUCAAUUAUUGAUUUGUGUGUUUUGCCCUUUUUAUUUUAUAGAUCAAGGGAAAGAAAUAUGUGGGCACAGCCCAUAGACAUCUCUUAACAGCAAAAUAAGGGGAGAUAUUUCAGGUACUGUACUUGGAACGCCUCCUUCAAUUUGGAAAUGCUGGGGGCUGAUCUCUAUUGGACUCUCAUCAUAAAAUCCAGUUAUGUUUUUAAAUUACUUAGAAGCUUAAGUUCAGAGCAGACAUUUGGUGUCUUUACUGUGUCAGAUCUUUUGAAGAGAGGGUGAAAAAAGCUGAUGUUUUUGGAAGUCCGCCGCAAGUGAAGCGGUGCCCCCUGCUACUCCUGUACUCUGCUCUGCCACCAAGUUGGAGAGGGCUUGGGAUGUUUCUUACGCCACUGGCUCCCGUAUAAGAUGACUGAGGUCUCACAGAAAAAUCUCAGUUGCAGUUUAUAAAAAUGGACAGUUGCAUCUUAUAAGUUAGUGCUGUAGCCUCCUCAUUCAACACAACUUGUGUGCUCCCACGAUCUCUCAUUAUGAAUGCUAUAAAUGUAAUUUUUACAAGGUAGCUGUCUAUCUAGAUGUUCUUUGAGGUGAGUGGAAAGAAAUAGACACUUGUGUAAGGCCUCUGGGAACUAGAACUAAUUCUACAAACUCUUUCUGACAGUGCUAAUAACGGCACGACAGCUCGGUCCCUUUCCUCUGUAGGAAAUGAUUGGGCACUAAUCUGGCUGAAUGCAAAAGAGUUUAUCUAACCGCUCUGGGGAGAGACUCCGGAAUUCCCUAGUGCCAGAAAGCCAGCCAGUGGAGCUGGUCUGGAAAAAGACCACAUCUCAUGAAACCAUGUUUUGUGAUCUUCUGGGGUUGCUUUGAGGGUCCCCUACCCUGAGAAGGGCGAUGGCAGAGGGGGAGACCCAAGGGGACGCAGAUGGCUCACACAAUGUUUGUCCACAUUUGUCAACCAGCAGUUGGAAGGAUGGAGAAACAGGGUGGGAGUCUCGCAGGGUGUCCUGGUGUGAUGGAUGGUGGAGAUCCUGCCUCUCUCCUCUCCGUGGAGAUCCAGCCAUGAGUUGAUUUAAUCUGCUGAAGCUGUGUAAUAAUUGAUGUAAACUCAGCGUACUCCUUAUGAUAAGAGGAAAAGUAUCUAACACGCACCCACAAAUCGGCUUACUAUUUUCAAGGUAAAGGAUUCUGUUUCUUCUGAG